CCUACGGGAGGCAGCAGUGAGGAAUAUUGGUCAAUGGGCGUAAGCCUGAACCAGCCAAGUCGCGUGAGGGAUGAAGGUUCUAUGGAUCGUAAACCUCUUUUAUAAGGGAAUAAAGUGUGGGACGUGUCCUAUUUUGUAUGUACCUUAUGAAUAAGGAUCGGCUAACUCCGUGCCAGCAGCCGCGGUAAUACGGAGGAUCCGAGCGUUAUCCGGAUUUAUUGGGUUUAAAGGGUGCGUAGGCGGCCUUUUAAGUCAGCGGUGAAAGUCUGUGGCUCAACCAGAGAAUUGCCGUUGAAACUGGGGGGCUUGAGUAUGUGUGAGGCAGGCGGAAGGCGUGGUGUAGCGGUGAAAUGCUUAGAUAUCACGCAGAACCCCGAUUGCGAAGGGAGCCUGCCGGGCCAUGACUGACGCUGAUGCACGAAAGCGUGGGGAUCAAACAGGAUUAGAUACCCCUGUAGUC
rnacentral:rRNA from 1 species